GGCAUACAUGUCCACCUUAAGUCCCCCUGUAUCACCAGGGCUACCAGAGUGUGUGGCUACUUUGGAUUGUGCAACCUGGGCUGUAAAAGCCUGCGAGCCAUACAUGCUCAUGGGUACGCUGGUAUUGCAUACCACCCACACAUGGGAUCCAGAAUGGUACUAUGGCAGUAAGCAUCUAGAGAAGGGUCUUCUGGCCCUGCAGGCGAAGAUCGAGGAGUUGGUGGCCGAAGGCCCAGAGACACAUUGUGGAAGGCCAUCUGAGUUAUAGACACAUGAAGCGCUGAGAAAGGCCUCAAAGUUAACUCCCUAGAACAGAUGCCAGAACAGAGUUCAGGGAGAGGCUCAACAUAAUUGAUGAAUGUACCUGUUGGUCAACCAAGAGAGCUGCUACCUCAUUCCCCUGGACCCCAAAAUCAGGAUUUAACCUACAAUUGCAAUAGGAGUAGUUUAAGGAAAAUUAUCUGUGUAUUAGCAACAUGUUAACCUAAUCCAUGGGCAGAGCCAUUAUGUAAUCUUUUAGACCAUUGGCUUAUUGUGCUUAUCUUGUCUUGCUGCUAGAACCUAUUCAGGGGCUUGGGAAAUCCCAUCCCCAUCACUUCUCUACGCCCA